ACGGGUGCGUAACGCGUGGGAAUCUGCCCUUGGGUCUGGAAUAACAGUUAGAAAUGACUGCUAAUACCGGAUGAUGACUUCGGUCCAAAGAUUUAUCGCCCAGGGAUGAGCCCGCGUCGGAUUAGCUAGUUGGUGAGGUAAAAGCUCACCAAGGCGACGAUCCGUAGCUGGUCUGAGAGGAUGAUCAGCCACACUGGGACUGAGACACGGCCCAGACUCCUACGGGAGGCAGCAGUGGGGAAUAUUGGACAAUGGGCGAAAGCCUGAUCCAGCAAUGCCGCGUGAGUGAUGAAGGCCUUAGGGUUGUAAAGCUCUUUUACCCGGGAUGAUAAUGACAGUACCGGGAGAAUAAGCCCCGGCUAACUCCGUGCCAGCAGCCGCGGUAAUACGGAGGGGGCUAGCGUUGUUCGGAAUUACUGGGCGUAAAGCGCACGUAGGCGGCUUUGUAAGUUAGAGGUGAAAGCCCGGGGCUCAACUCCGGAAUUGCCUUUAAAACUGCAUCGCUAGAAUUGUGGAGAGGUAAGUGGAAUUCCGAGUGUAGAGGUGAAAUUCGUAGA
rnacentral:rRNA from 1 species